AAAAGUGAAGUGCUGUGAAUGCUUUCAGGAUGCACCUGUAAAUGUGCACAAAAUGCAGUUCACAAGGGCGAUGCCUUGACACCUGUGUUUAUUUGAAGUCACUGUAAAUGACUGCCAGCACAUUUGGAAUCAAUAUGAAUCACAGCAGUUAAAGACCUUUAAUGGAGGCUACGACCUCAACCUCACAGUAAAAAGCACGUUUUCCCAAAUCCCCUGAAUUCAUAUAGCCUGCUUCUUCAUUUUAUUGGCCUUCAGACAGCAAGUUACUCACAGUUCCUUUAAGCAACGCUUUAAAACUGUGCUUUAGUUUCGCUUCAUUGUUGUACAGAGGCACUCCUCCUAACUGAAAUACGAGACGCUUUUUAACACUUAAAUUUCACCUGUAGCCUAUAUCAUUAUCAGCCGCAUCCACAUUGAGAAGAAACCUGGAAUCAACUUAUUUACCCUUUACUUGCUAAAUGUAACAAUUGGGAACACGGCAUUGUUCUCUAACCACAACACAAGCCCGGUGAGACCUUUUCGCAACCUGUCUUUUACACGUCGCAGUUCCGGGUCUUUUUGUAGGUUGGGAUCGUGACUAUGGAAGUAUGAGCGACGCGCUGGAGUUGAAGCCUAUUCAAGUUGUCUGUGACAACAAUAACGUCUCGAGUGACCAAACGAUUGAGGGGAUUCCAGGGAAUGGUGCUUGCUCAGGCCACGUCAGUUCAGAGAGAAAUGAAGAUUCCCCUUUGCUAUCAACAACACAGGUCGCUGAGAACAAUAGGGAACAGCACCUCCAUGUGGAUGAAGGCGUCGAUACUGACUCUCUAAGUCAACCCAAGUGGCAGAGGGAGCUGCGGAGAGUCAAGAGAGAACUGAAUGAGGUGGUGGUGUGGAAACUCAAACUAUGGACAUUGAUACUUAUCAUCUUUAUUGCCAUUGCUCUGGUGAUUGGGAUCUCAAUCAUUGUGUGCGCAGUUGGUCAUGACGAUGAGGAUGAAAAAUAUGACAAAUCAUCAUUUGUGGUGCCACGCUUCUUCAGAGGGAAUUUCACUCUGGAUGCUAAAAGUUUCAAUUCAGACACUCAGGAUGAAGAGACCAUGAUAGAGCUGAAACAGCAGGUAAUAAUAACAAGAAUGAUCUGACCGUUAUUAUAGAUACCUGUGUAGUAGGUUUGAGAAACCCAUUGAUACGCUUUACAUAACUACACACAUAUCAUACUCUGAAGUUUGAAGAAAUCAGAGACAUGAAUUGCUGUGAUGAAAGCUGAAUUUUUAGCAGCCAUUUCUUCUGAUUUGCUGCUCAAGAAUUUUUUUUUGUUAUUAUCAAUGUUUAAAACAGUAACCCCCCCCCCCCAGAAUUCUUUGAGUAGAGUUCAAAAGGGAAGCA
rnacentral:lncRNA from 1 species